CUCUCCCUCCCUCUCCCCUGAUGUCGUUGAGGUGCCUCCUCCUCACAGCCUCUUUCAUCCACCCACCGCCGCAAUUUCCAAUAUUUAAGGCGCCAAGCCGCUAUUUCAGCAUCCGGCUCGACCAAUCAAGCCGGUCGAACCGCUGAGCCGCCUCCGCCUUCAUGUGGUGGACGUUAGCCAAGAUGUGGGCCUGCAGCUUGCAACUGGCCUUGAAGAAAUCUGGACACCGUCUUCUCAAACGACUCCAUAUUUUCCGUGAAUUGUAUGGUCUCGUACAAGUUCCAGCGCGGCGUCGCGAGGACUUUUCGGGCCAGCUGAAGGCUGUUCUGUAGAACUUCGGAGAAGGCGAUUUAUUGGAUUAUGGGGCGGAGUUCCUCGAUUGAGGAGAUGAGUUUUAGGCGGUUCCUCUUCUGUGGCAUGAUCUUCCUUCCUUUUUUUUUUGUCUACUUGAUUUUAUUUUGUGUUGCAUGUUUACUCUGAUAGGUAAAGCCGGCUAGAGUUGAAGUUCGUUGUGGACACGUGUCAAAAUCUGAUUAAGUCACAGAGAGGCCUUAGAAAGAGUGGGUCAAAGUGGAUAUCCAACUCUGUUAUAUAUCCCAGCAUCCAACUCUGGUCUUGCUAAGUUGAAAACAUAAAUUCUA